rnacentral:rRNA from 1 species
UACGUAGGGUGCGAGCGUUGUCCGGAAUUAUUGGGCGUAAAGAGCUUGUAGGUGGCUCGUUGCGUCGGGAGUGAAAACCCGUGGCUUAAUCACGGGCCUGCUUCCGAUACGGGCGAGCUAGAGUUCGGCAGGGGAGACUGGAAUUCCUGGUGUAGCGGUGGAAUGCGCAGAUAUCAGGAGGAACACCGGUGGCGAAGGCGGGUCUCUGGGCCGAUACUGACACUGAGAAGCGAAAGCGUGGGGAGCGAACAGG